UUGCUUUGCACAUGUCGGUCUGUCGGUCUGUCGGUCGGUCGGUCCGCCCACCAGGUGGUUUCCAGAUGAUAACUCAAGAACGCUUGGGCCUAGGAUCAUGAAACUUCAUAGGUAUAUUGAUCAUGACUCGCAGAUGACCCCUAUUGAUUUUGAGGUCACUAGGUCAAAGGUCAAGGUCAUGGUGACCGGAAAUAGUAAAAUGGUUUCCGGAUGAUAACUCAAGAACGCUUAGGCCUAGGAUCAUGAAACUUGAUAGGUAGAUUGAUCAUGACUUGCAGAUGACCCCUAUUGAUUUUCAGGUCACUAGGUCAAAGGUCAAGGUCACAGUGACCCGAAAUAGUAAAAUGGUUUCCGGAUGAUAACUCAAGAAUGCAUACGCCUAGGAUCAUGAAACUUCAUGGGUAGAUUGAUCAUGACUCGCAGAUGACCCCUAUUGAUUUUGAGGUCACUAGGUCAAAGGUCAAGGUCACGGUGACCCGAAAUAGUAGAAUGGUUUUCAGAUGAUAACUCAAGAACGCAUACGCCUAGGAUCAUGAAACUUCAUAGGUAGAUUGAUCAUGACUUGCAGAUUACCCCUAUUGAUUUUGAGGUCACAAGGUCAAAGGUCAAGGUCACGGUGACCAGAAAUAGUAAAAUGAUUUUCAGAUGAUAACUCAAUAACUCUUUUGCCUAGGAUCAUGACACUUCAUAGGUACAUUGAUCGUGACCCGCAGAUGACCCCUAUUGAUUUUCAGGUCACUAGGUCAAAGGUCAAGGUCACAGUGACAAAAAUCGUAUUCACACAAUGGCUGCCACUACAACGGACAGCCCAUAUGGGGGGCAUGCAUGUUUUACAAACAGCCCUUGU